UACGAAGGGGACUAGCGUUGUUCGGAAUUACUGGGCGUAAAGCGCACGUAGGCGGAUUUGUAAGUCAGGGGGUGAAAUCCCGGGGCUCAACCUCGGAACUGCCUUUGAUACUGCAAAUCUCGAGUCCGAUAGAGGUGGGUGGAAUUCCUAGUGUAGAGGUGAAAUUCGUAGAUAUUAGGAAGAACACCGGUGGCGAAGGCGGCCCACUGGAUCGGUACUGACGCUGAGGUGCGAAAGCGUGGGGAGCAAACAGG
rnacentral:rRNA from 1 species